rnacentral:rRNA from 3 species
CACCGGCGGCUCGAGUGGUAACCGUUAUUAUUGGGUCUAAAGGGUCUGUAGCCGGCCGGAUAAGUCUCUUGAGAAAUCUGGCAGCUUAACUGUCAGGCUUUCAGGAGAUACUGUCUGGCUCGAGGCCGGGAGAGGUGAGAGGUACUUCAGGGGUAGGGGUGAAAUCUUGUAAUCCUUGAAGGACCACCAGUGGCGAAGGCGUCUCACCAGAACGGACCUGACGGCAAGGGACGAAAGCUAGGGGCACGAACCGGAUUAGAUACCCGGGUAGUCCUAGCCGUAAACGAUACUCGCUAGGUGUCGGCCACGGUGCGACCGUUGUCGGUGCCGUAGGGAAGCCGUGAAGCGAGCCACCUGGGAAGUACGGCCGCAAGGCUGAA